GACGAACGCUGGCGGCGUGCCUAAUACAUGCAAGUUGAGCGAUGAAGAUUGGUGCUUGCACCCAUUUGAAGAGCAGCGAACGGGUGAGUAACGCGUGGGGAAUCUGCCUUUGAGCGGGGGACAACAUUUGGAAACGAAUGCUAAUACCGCAUAACAACUUUAAACAUAAGUUUUAAGUUUGAAAGAUGCAAUUGCAUCACUCAAAGAUGAUCCCGCGUUGUAUUAGCUAGUUGGUGAGGUAAAGGCUCACCAAGGCGAUGAUACAUAGCCGACCUGAGAGGGUGGUCGGCCACAUUGGGACUGAGACACGGCCCAAACUCCUACGGGAGGCAGCAGUAGGGAAUCUUCGGCAAUGGACGAAAGGCUGACCGAGCAACGCCGCGUGAGUGAAGAAGGGUUUCGGAUCGUAAAACUCUGUUGGUAGGGAAGAACGUUGGUGAGAGUGGAAAGCUCAUCAAGUGACGGUAACUACCCAGAAAGGGACGGCUAACUACGUG
rnacentral:rRNA from 1 species